rnacentral:lncRNA from 1 species
UUGAAAUUUUAAGUUAAGAAAAAGAACAUGUUAAGUAAGAAUUGAGAAGAAAAAGGGUUUAACAGAGAUAGAGAAAGGCAAUUUCAUUAAGAAAUAAUUUGAAAUAGUCUAAGAAAAACUGAAGAAUUUAGAGUUCGAGAGUCUUAGAAUAUGAGUUUGGAACCUCAAGUCUUUUCUAGGCAAUUUAUGGUUAUUCGAGUUGUUGUUGGUAUUGUUAAGUGCCGAAGGGUCUGGUGAAGUUUUUGAGCUCAGUUUUUCAAAUCAAUUUGGGUUGUUCAAUUUAUUUUGAUUGGCUUCUUGUUCAAUUGGAGUUUGAUCAUCUACUGGGUUCGAUUGGUGUUAUUUCUGGACCGAUUAUUGUUAACUGAUGUUGCUGUGUUGCUUGCUACUGUUGCUGCUUCUCAUCUUCCUUUCUAUUAUUUUCAACACGAGGUACACAUAUUUGACCUCAUGAUUGAUGUAAUCUUCACUUGAGAAUGAAAUGAAGGGUUGUUUCGAGUCUAUGUUUAGUAUGAAUGCUUGUGGAUGCAAUUAGUUUAUAAAUGGAUAGUUAUUUAAUUUCAGUGCAUAAGAACUGUUUAAACUUAGACUAUUUAACUAGUACUGUUUCUAUUGUUUAAACUUGUAAUGGACUUUCAUAGACUAUUCAAUUAGCUCAAUUUGUUUCUAUGAAUAUGUGAAUUCUCCGGUACGUGAUCUUAUUCGGUUUAAUGCGUUACUAGUACAGUAUAGUAUAGUGUAAUGAAGAUCCAAAUUUCAAUAAGGGUGAAAAAGAGUUCUAGUUUCAAUGCUAAUUUGAACAGACCAAUUUUCUAUUUUAAAUCAGAAAUUGCAUAUAAGUAGAAAUAACUCGGCCCUUAAUUACUAAUUAAAGUAGUGUUAGAAUUCGAGUUGAUUAGUCAUCAAUUUAUCAGUUCGUGCUAAUAUUUUACCACUAGGCAUGAGUUGGGUUGAACAUGACGUGUUAACAUUUCUUUGAAUAUUAACGAUAAUAGA